ensembl:snoRNA
CUCCAUUUGUCUUUGGGACCUGUCAUCUGUGGCAGUCUCCCUUCUUAGCCACGGAGGAGCGUAUUGUUUAUUGGCAAAGCUAUCACCAUGUAAUUGGUAUCAUAUUCUAACUUGUACUGUUAGGAACU